GAUGAAGAACGCAGCGAAAUGCGAUAAGUAAUGUGAAUUGCAGAAUUCAGUGAAUCAUCGAAUCUUUGAACGCACCUUGCGCUCUUUGGUAUUCCGAAGAGCAUGCCUGUUUGAGUGUCAUGAAAAUAUCAACCUUGACUUGGGUUUUGUGCUCUAGUCUCGGCUUGGAAUUGGGUGCUUGCCGCUUUUACGAGCGGCUCACCUUAAAUGUAUUAGCUGGAUCUGUCUUUGAGACUUGGUUUGACUUGGCGUAUUAAGUAUUUCGCUAAGGACAUUCUUCGGAGUGGCCUCGUUUCUAGGACGCUUGUCCGCUUUCCAAUACAAGUUCCACCUCGUGAACAUGACUUUUUAUUAUCUGGCCUCAAAUCAGGUAGGACUACCCGCUGAACUUAAGCAUAUCAAUAAGCGGAGGA
rnacentral:misc_RNA from 1 species